rnacentral:rRNA from 1 species
GCUGGGCUUCUCUGGGCUUGAGCUCGUUUCGAACUCGACCGUCGCAAAAUUUCACAUCACAAUAAAAGGCGAGGUAGACUCGGAAAAUUAGGUCAAAAAGUAGGAAGAGAAACGCGAUAGCCCCUCGCCUCGCCGCCGCCGCCGAGCAGCGCACCUGCCCUUCCGCCGGCGAAUCCGCUCGUGCCCUAGCCGGAGACUAGGUAUUGGCGCAGAUCUGCCGGCAGCGAUGUCGGGAACCGCGGCCCCACGGUACGCGCCGGACGACCCUACGGUGCCGAAGCCGUGGCGCGGGCUGGUGGACGGCACCACCGGCUACCUCUACUACUGGAAUCCGGAUACCAACGUCACCCAGUACGAGAAGCCCGUGCCGCCGGAAGCUCAGCUCCCGCCGCCCCCGCCUCUCCCGCCUCCUCCUCCGCGCGCCCGCGGCCGGGACCGUCGAGACCGUUCCCGUUCUCGCUCCCGCUCCCGUUCUCGCACACCGCCUCGGCGUGAACACCGGGACCGCGACCGCGACCGCGACAGGCGCCGUCACGACGAGCACGACUCGUUCAAGCCGUCGUCGUCCCAUCACCAUCUUCCUCCGGCUGCCACCAUCAUCCCUACCGCCGCAGCUGAUGAUCCAUCAGCCGAAGCAUACCGCCGUCGCCAUGAGAUCACAGUCAUCGGGGAUAACGUGCCGGCUCCCAUAACUGAGUUUGACUCUGGUGUCAUCCCGCUUGAUAUACUCAAGGAGAUGCGAUAUUCGCUCCAAGGUGGAGCUAAUGUCGCACCCUGCUUCGUGCGCCCUCGUCCAGUCUGUAAUUUCGACGGGCUGAGGGCGGAUGUCGUUGAUGGAGCUGCCAAGGGUGGGUGGACACCCCAGGCGGCUUGCUCCCUGCUAAGGGGGCUGCCCAUGGUCUAAAAGGCCAUCUACGUCGGCUGACGCUGAUUUGUUUCUCCGCGUACGGUUCCUGGUAAAGGCUCCUCACAUGGAUGGCAGGCCUCUUCUGGGGGCUAUGGAGAUCUCACCCAGGCUGAAGGCCUCCAAAUGCCUGACCAAUGGAAGGGGCCUGUGGAUGAACGAUCCAUGGCUGAGCGAGCCUGUCUCCAGGGAUUCUGUUAGAGCUUUUCUACUUCGCCCUGUUUCCACACUUUGUGGAUCUGUUCUCUUCCGUACGGCCUUAAAUUGACUUCACACAUUGUUGAUUCUUUGUUGUUUUCACUAUAUAGAGUAACUAGAGUUUCAGUGGGAGCUGUAGCAGAUGUAGGUGCAUCACAUUAACCAUAUUCUUUUGGUGUCCUUAUUUUGUUUGCCUUUGCCUUCCGUUCCCCUUUCUUUUUUCCAGAUACAACGCGCCGGAUUCCCAAGUCCAACGCCUAUCCAAGCCCAGUCCUGGCCAAUUGCCUUGCUCAAUCAAGAUGUUGUAGCUAUUGCCAAGACAGGAUCUGGAAAAACUCUCGGGUAUUUGCUUCCUGGCUUUAUGCAUAUAAAGCGUAUGCAGAACAGCACAAGGUCUGGCCCAACAGUGUUAGUUUUGGCACCUACCAGAGAGCUCGCAACACAGAUUUUGGAAGAAGCUGUGAAAUUUGGCAGAUCAUCAAGAAUUUCUUCUACGUGCCUUUAUGGCGGUGCUCCUAAAGGGCCCCAGUUAAGAGAUUUAGAAAGAGGGGUUGAUGUUGUUGUUGCAACACCUGGAAGGUUGAAUGACAUUCUAGAAAUGCGGAAAAUAAGCCUAAAGCAGGUCUCGUACCUUGUUCUAGACGAGGCUGACCGCAUGCUAGAUAUGGGGUUUGAACCACAAAUACGAAAAAUAGUAAGAGACAUACCUUCUGGUCGGCAAACUCUUAUGUACACUGCUACUUGGCCCAAGGAAGUCCGAAGAAUUGCAGAUGAGCUUCUUGUUCACCCUGUUCAGGUGACCAUUGGAAGUGUGGAUGAGCUUGUUGCUAAUAAAGCUAUUACUCAGCAUGUGGAGGUGGUCACUCCCUCAGAAAAGCUUUGGCGUCUGGAGCAAAUAUUGCGAUCCCAUGAUUCAGGUUCCAAGAUACUAAUAUUCUGUACCACCAAGAGAAUGUGCGACCAACUAUCAAGGACACUCAAUAGGCAAUUUGGAGCGGCUGCCAUUCAUGGUGACAAGUCUCAAAAUGAAAGAGAGAAGGUCCUGAGUCAAUUUAGAUCUGGACGAUCUCCUAUUUUGGUGGCUACAGAUGUUGCGGCACGAGGUUUAGACAUCAAAGAUAUCAGGGUUGUGAUCAACUAUGACUUCCCCACUGGUGUUGAGGACUAUGUUCACAGGAUUGGCAGGACAGGAAGGGCUGGUGCCACUGGUUUGGCCUAUACGUUUUUGUGUGAUCAGGAUUCAAAAUAUGCCGCCGACCUAAUUAAAAUCCUGGAAGGGGCAGACCAAGAUGUUCCUCCUGAACUGUUAGACAUGGUCUCUCGGGGUGGGCGUGGUAGGAAACGUAACAAAUGGGCAACCCGCUCUGAGAGGGGUGGUGGUUCACGCCCUGAACUGGAUUCAAGGUAUGGUGGCAGGUUAGAGGGUAGUCGCGGUGGACGUGGAAAGGAUGAUUAUGGUGGCCGUAGCAGGAAUGAUCACGGCGGGUCUCGCAGGUCUGCUAGAGGUCGCAGCAGAAGCCUUAGCAGGAGUGACAGUGAUAGGCGCAGCCCAAGCCCCAAGAGACGGCGCCAUGAUGUGCAGUCUAGCCGUAGCAGGACUAGAAGUCGGAGUCGGAGCAGGAGCAGGAGCAGGAGCAGGAGCAGAAACAAGAGCAGGAAUAGGAGCCGGAGCAGGAGUUACACUAGGAAUCGUCGUGCUAGCCGCAGCAGGAGUCGUAGCCCUGGCGCUAGACGCAGGCCUGAAAGAAGAGCUGGCUCUGGGUCUACACGUCCUGACUCUGCCCACCCAGUGGAGAAGAAAAGCUCACCCAAUGCUCACCCUUCAAAUGACCACAGGAGCCGCAGUGUCGACCCUUCAAAUGACUAUCAGGCGGAGGAUGGGAAGAUGGGAAAGGUUGAUCUGGAUCGGUCGCCCAGUCCGCAGGAGCAGGAUGACAAGUCUGCUCCAUAUAGUUCUGUGUAUAAUGGCGAAGGAGGCAGGGGGUCAAUGAGCCCUAAUGGCGAGCCAGUGGUGGAUGCUAAACCUGUGGAAGUCUCUGUGAGCAGCAAGAAGAGGGAGGAUGAAGAGGAAGGUAUGAUUGAUGAAGAGGGAGAGGAGGGUAUGAUAGCCGAUGAUGACCCUCGCGCAAGUGCAGCUGUGCAAAACGGUGGUGAUAAGUGACAAGGCUUUGAACAAUGAAUUUGCUAUUCUACAAACAAUCCAUGUUAAGACUUUUAUGAUUGAGCUGUUGUUUGUUAUGUAACAUUGAGCUUUCAUUUGCUGUUUGUUAUGAACCAGAGUCCAAGAUCGUUGUUUGUUAUGUCGACUUGUUUGAAC